rnacentral:piRNA from 1 species
AGGAAGUAAGUGAUAAUGGGCUCAGAU